CGCACCUUGCACCCUCUGGUAUUCCGGAGGGUAUGCCUGUUUGAGUGUCAUGAAGCAUCAACCCCGACGGGAGACCGUCUUGGUUGGAUCUGGGCGUCUGCCAUGCGUGGCUCGCCUUAAAAGCAUCAGUGGAUCUGGUCGGAGACCGUUGGCGAAUUAGGUUACGCCACGUGGUCCGAGCCCUGCCGCUCACAACCCCUGCCCUCGGGCAACUUCUUUUUGACUUGACCUCAGAUCAGGUAGGACUACCCGCUGAACUUAA
rnacentral:misc_RNA from 1 species